UACAGAGGUCUCAAGCGUUGUUCGGAUUCAUUGGGCGUAAAGGGGUGCGUAGGUGGCGCCGUAAGUCGGGUGUGAAAUUCGGGAGCUUAAACUUCCGAAACUGCAUUCGAUACUGCGGUGCUUGAGGACUGGAGAGGAGACUGGAAUUCGAUGGUGAGCAGUGAAAUGCGUAGAGAUCAUGAGGAAGACCAGUGGCGAAGGCGG
rnacentral:rRNA from 1 species